rnacentral:rRNA from 1 species
GACGAACGCUGGCGGCGUGCCUAACACAUGCAAGUCGAACGGAGAUUUCAGCAAUGGAAUCUUAGUGGCGAACGGGUGAGUAACGCGUAGACAACCUACCUUCUAGAUGGGGACAACACUGCGAAAGUGGUGCUAAUACCGAAUGUUGUAUUUUGAACGCCUGUUUAAGAUACUAAAGGUGGCCUCUAUUUAUAAGCUACCACUAGAAGAUGGGUCUGCGUCUGAUUAGCUAGUUGGUGAGGUAAUGGCUCACCAAGGCAACGAUCAGUAGCCGGUCUGAGAGGAUGAACGGCCACACUGGGACUGAGACACGGCCCAGACUCCUACGGGAGGCAGCAGUGGGGAAUCUUCCGCAAUGGACGAAAGUCUGACGGAGCAACGCCGCGUGAGUGAAGAAGGUUUUCGGAUCGUAAAACUCUGUUUUCAGGGACGAAUGUGCAAUAUGUAAAUAAUGUAUUGUAAUGACGGUACCUGACAAGAAAGCCACGGCUAACUACGUGCCAGCCGCCGCUGUAAUAC